rnacentral:tRNA from 1 species
AUUUAUAUAGUUUAAAUUAAAACUCUUCAUUUUCAAUGAAAAAAUAAGAAUUUAUCUUUAUAAAUA